rnacentral:rRNA from 1 species
UACGUAGGGUGCGAGCGUUAAUCGGAAUUACUGGGCGUAAAGCGUGCGCAGGCGGUUCGUUAAGUUCGUUGUGAAAGCCCCGGGCUCAACCUGGGAACUGCAAUGGAAACUGGCGGGCUUGAGUGUGGCAGAGGGGGGUGGAAUUCCGCGUGUAGCAGUGAAAUGCGUAGAGAUGCGGAGGAACACCGAUGGCGAAGGCAACCCCCCGGGCCAACACUGACGCUCAGGCACGAAAGCGUGGGGAGCAAACAGG